rnacentral:misc_RNA from 1 species
AGGUCUUUUCUCAUGAAAUAGCUGUAUGAAUUUUCAUUUCAUUUACACGUUUCAUAAUUUUUGAUCAUCAUAUUCACAUGGUCAUAUUCCGACUCAUGAGAAAAUGUGUCAGCCCCGACUAUUUACUCCUCCUCUCCCUAUACAAACCCUCAAACAUAGAGAUUGGACAUGUAUCCAACAGAUAGCUGUAUACCAAUAUGGCUGACCUUAAUUAAUUGUACCUUAUGUUUCAUUAUUGUAUACAAAUCCAAUUUAUCAUGCAUAUGGAAUGUCGAUCUUGGGCUUUUAUAAAACGAACCAUAGUACAUAGUACUAGUGUUGAGUUUUCCUUGACUUUAGCAGGGACUGUGCAAUAAUGGGCAUGCUUGUUUGCUAACAAUCUGUCGUCUGAGUAGAUUAUACUGGUGGUGUGUAGUUAUUUUUAUACUCCAUGUUGGACUGUUAUAUAAUGCUUAGAGCUGUACUGUAUUAUAAAUGACAUGUCUGUGAUGUGUAGAGUCAAAAUAAUGUGUCAUCGAUAUCAAGCAUCACGUUAUACAUAAAUGGUGAUGACUACAUUUCUAUUCAUACUGCUGUAAAAAAAUAUAGUGAUUUUUUUAAUGAUGAAAUUGUCAAAGUUAGGAGAUUGCUCUGUUUUACUAGAAAAUCAACGAAAUGGGAUGAAGAUGAGUUACAUGUAUUACAUAUCUGAUUUCUGUUCCAAAGUUUAUAUUCUAAAUGUUUGGCUGAGAUGUCCAGUAUGGUACAGUGCUUCAGGUUUUCAAUGUAUUGCUUUGUCUUUCUACCCUAUCCAUAGACAGAGUUGGGGGAAUAACUUGGGACACAUCUAACUAACCGUUCUGACCAUGCAGAGAAACCGGCUCAGCGUUUCUGUGUUUGGACCAUGUGGAUCAUGGGACAAGAAACUGACUCAGUCUGUUAUGGAGUUGUUAUCAUCAUGGAAUUCAUGGUUAUUGUGUAUCGUAACUUGGUCAUCAUAUUACAUUCUGUAACUUGUUCAUCAUAUUACAUUCUGUAACUUGUUCAUUAUGUUACAUUCUGUAACUUGUUCAUUAUGUUACAUUAUGUAGCUUUUUCAUCAUGUUACAUUUUGUAAAUCAAAAUUAUCAUAUUACAUUUGCAACAUGUUCAUCAGGUUACAUUCUGUAACUUGUUCAUUAUAUUACAUUCUGUAACUUGUUCAUUUUGUUACAUUCUGUAACUUGUUCAUUACUUUACAUUUUGUAAUUUGUUUUUGAAUUGCCUGAAUGUGCAAGAGCUGAUCUAUUUAUUAUAUUAACUGUUACUGAGUGUUACUAUGAUGAUAACGAUGAUAUAAAGUUUGUAAACAACACUGUUAUAUAUAUGUUGUUAAUUAGGUCACUGUCAAAAAUAAACAACAAAAACCAU